GCGCCGACGGAGUUCCCGUCUUCUUCCCUGCAUCGCGAGCGCAGUGCCGGCCUGCCUACGUCGGGGUUGCUCGCCACAUGGCCGACCCGGAGGUGGAGACGCUGCGACCAGGUUCAUCACCAAGCCGCAUCCCUGAACCUCCGUAGCGAGCGUUGUAGAUGCAGUACCGCCGCCGUAUCCCGCCCCCAUGAUCCAGACGCGCAGGCCAGAUCCGCCGCCGCCGGGAGCAGCGUAGAGUCAUGGCCGUGCGCUAUCAUACAGCCUCAAUGCGUCAACCCCGGCCAUCUCUACGCGGGACGACUAUGCCUCAUCAUGGAUGACCUCCAACACUGUCCUGCUGCCCAGAAGGAACAAAACAUCCGGCCCUCGGACGACUUCCCCUGUCCCCGCUAAGAUCGCCCCUUUUAAACAGCUGAGCCGCAUCGCUCCUAUGGUCUCCACCAUCAGCUUCGUGUCUCCCCCUUAGGUGACCUCAAAAGCACAUGCGUAGUAUCAAUAUCAUAGUUGUAAUUACUAAUCCAUACAAUUGUUAUUAUUUCGCUGUUAUUUGCAGACCUGUUUUUUGUGUGCUAAAGUUGGCUGGGUACUUUGGCCACUUUCACUUGAAAUAUCAAAGAUAGAAAGGAGCAUAUAUGGUUUCAUCUUUCAUGCCUCUCAUGUUUCGGUACUGUACCUACAAAUUUUUAGAUAUACAUUGGAGUACAGCAUAGUAUUAAAGUGCACCACAUCGACUAUAUCAUUGCCUCCAAAUGGUUACUUGGUCUCUGUAUUAUAGCUGAUGGUGUAAUCGAUGUUUCAGAUCUGAUACAGUCACCGGUUAUGAGAACUUUUUGAUUUGCUUAGUAACUUUUGUUGUAGAUUCUAGGUUUGUUUUGUCAGCUAACAGGACCUUCCAUACAUUAACAAAUACAGUAUAUUUUUAGCUGAUUGUUACCUACUUGACUUCAUCUGGCCACACCAGCAAGUUACAUAUAUAUGUUGACUCCUGCAUAUGAAUGACAGCAAUAUAUUGGCAUCUACCUGCUGAUCACGAGUUCACGACUGAGAUUUGAGAUGGAUAAGGUAUCCCUUCUUAACACGAAUAUGUUUUGUUUUCCUGAAAGAAAAACUUGACAGUUCAAACAUAGUUUUUAUAUUUGCAUUUAUGCAAAUUAUGUUGGGAUCUCCUUAUUCUCAUGAUUUGUUAUUCAGGACAUUGUCGGUCUGCCGCUUUAGAUCAUCUUUUAAUUUUCUUUAUCAUGAACAUCUAUUUCAAUGUUGUUUCUCAGCGAUUGGUGUAGGUCAUUCAGAACCCACUCCAACAUUUCGUCGGGUUUGUUACGUCUUUGCCUCCAUUUAGUUAGCCACUUGAGUUUUCCAAGUUAUCAUGCAUGUAUUACUGGAUAAUUCAUCACACUUUUAAUCUAUAGUAGACUAAGGAGAUUUAUGCUGCUACCCCAUAAGUAAUACUUCAAUGGUGAGCUACCUUCUGCAUUGUAGAGUUCUCUUUUUAAGGUAUGCCAUUCUAAAUCAUUUUCUGAUUUUAUAUUAAUAAUCGUUUGUUCAGUCCCUAUUGUUGUGACCUCAAUGGUAAUUAUUGCCUCCUAAUUCUAGCAAAUAUUCACCGGUUAUGUAUGGUUCUCUAUUUGCGCAUCACCAGUUGUGAAGGGUCCAAUAUAAUCAAUCUACUAAACUUUUCUUGGGAUAUUCAUACGUAAAUUUCUAUCAAAUGUACACAAUUUCCAUUUUUAGUCAGUGUAAACUUACCAGAUUAUUCAAGUUUUUCUUAAUUUGCUUCUGGGAACAACCCAAUAUAUGCCCAAGGAGUAGUGAAGCGGGUGAUCUAAUCUUGCUCUUUCUUUUGCUUCAGAAUGAAUUGUCGUCGGGCAAACUGAAUAAAAUACUGUAGAGAACCGCGACACCAAGGGUCUUCUCCUUUGCCAAGAGGUUAUUUCCACUACAGGUGCCAUCAACUAUGUAACCAUGUUUAUUUCUGUUUACUACUCAUAAUCUUGAUAUUUUUGUUCUCUUUCAUUUAUGAUUUGGCAAGGCAUCGUCUAUGUACUGUGUUAUGCCAGCAUUUUAUCUUCCAAUCGUAUAAUCCAUCUACACAGAGAACAAAUGUAGAAAAUAGAAGUGGGCUGAUUUCUUGCCCAGCUUUGCUACGUGGUGCACAUGUAUUUUCUGCUCCAAUGUAAUCACGCCAUGUUAAUGCUAAGCCCCUUGAUUGAUUUUGUGUGCAGGAAGGAAAGGCUCUAUUGUCUUAACAAGGAUGAAAAGUAUAAUAGCAUACAUAAACCAACAUGGAC
rnacentral:lncRNA from 1 species